AACGAACGCUGGCGGCAUGCCUAACACAUGCAAGUCGAACGAGACCUUCGGGUCUAGUGGCGCACGGGUGCGUAACGCGUGGGGACCUGCCCUUAGGUUCGGAAUAACUCCCCGAAAGGGGUGCUAAUACCGGAUAAUGUCUUCGGACCAAAGAUUUAUCGCCUUUGGAUGGGCCCGCGUUGGAUUAGCUAGUUGGUAGGGUAAAAGCCUACCAAGGCGACGAUCCAUAGCUGGUCUGAGAGGAUGAUCAGCCACACUGGGACUGAGACACGGCCCAGACUCCUACGGGAGGCAGCAGUGGGGAAUAUUGGACAAUGGGCGAAAGCCUGAUCCAGCAAUGCCGCGUGAGUGAUGAAGGCCUUAGGGUUGUAAAGCCCUUUUACCCGGGAUGAUAAUGACAGUACCGGGAGAAUAAGCUCCGGCUAACUCCGUG
rnacentral:rRNA from 1 species